CCUACGGGAGGCAGCAGUGGGGAAUUUUGGACAAUGGGCGCAAGCCUGAUCCAGCAAUGCCGCGUGAGUGAAGAAGGCCUUCGGGUUGUAAAGCUCUUUUGUCAGGGAAGAAACGGCUGAGGUUAAUACCUUUGGCUAAUGACGGUACCUGAAGAAUAAGCACCGGCUAACUACGUGCCAGCAGCCGCGGUAAUACGUAGGGUGCAAGCGUUAAUCGGAAUUACUGGGCGUAAAGCGUGCGCAGGCGGUUUUUGUAAGUCUGUCGUGAAAGCCCCGGGCUCAACCUGGGAAUUGCGAUGGAGACUGCAAGGCUUGAAUCUGGCAGAGGGGGGUAGAAUUCCACGUGUAGCAGUGAAAUGCGUAGAGAUGUGGAGGAACACCGAUGGCGAAGGCAGCCCCCUGGGUCAAGAUUGACGCUCAUGCACGAAAGCGUGGGGAGCAAACAGGAUUAGAUACCCUGGUAGUCCACGCCCUAAACGAUGUCUACUAGUUGUCGGGUUUUAAUUAACCUUGGUUAACGCAGCUAACGCGUGAAGUAGACCGCCUGGGGAGUACGGUCGCAAGNUUAAACCGUUAAAGGAAUUGACGG
rnacentral:rRNA from 1 species